rnacentral:rRNA from 1 species
GGAGUUUGGUCCGUGUCUCAGUACCAAUGUGGGGGACCUUCCUCUCAGAACCCCUACUGAUCGUCGGCUCGGUGGGCCGUUACCCCGCCGACUGCCUAAUCAGACGCAUCCCCAUCCCUUAGCGAUGAAUCUUUGGUUUGAUUUUGAUGUCAGCAUCAAACAACAUAGGGAAUUAAUCCGACUUUCGCCGGGCUGUGCCCUACUAAGGGGAAGGUUGGAUACGCGUUACUCACCAGUGCGCCGGUCGCCGCCAGGCGUGUUGCCACGCCCGCGAUGCCCCUCGACUUGCAUGUGUUAAGCCUGUCGCUAGCGUUCAUC